rnacentral:tRNA from 1 species
AAAAAGAUAAGCUAAACUAAGCUACUGGGUUCAUACCCCAUUUAUAAGGGCCAUACCCUUUCUUUUUA